rnacentral:rRNA from 1 species
UACGAAGGGGGCUAGCGUUGCUCGGAAUCACUGGGCGUAAAGCGCACGUAGGCGGACUUUUAAGUCAGGGGUGAAAUCCUGGAGCUCAACUCCAGAACUGCCUUUGAUACUGAGGAUCUUGAGUUCGGGAGAGGUGAGUGGAACUGCGAGUGUAGAGGUGAAAUUCGUAGAUAUUCGGAGGAACACCAGUGGCGAAGGCGGCUCACUGGCUCGGUACUGACGCUGAGGUGCGAAAGCGUGGGGAGCAAACAGG